GAAAGGACAGUAUCAGGAAAGCAAAAACUUCCCCAAGAAUCCCCAGCUCACUUCCACUAAAGCAAUGUCACACGGUCCCCUCUUAACUGCAAAGGAGGCCAAAGUAGUGCUUGAGCAGGCAAUAUUGCAUCCCUAAACAGGUUGAAUUUGUUGAGUAAUGAAGAGCAGGGUAGGUUACUAUCUGGCAUCUACACAAAAACAAAUCACUCUGUCAUGAGGAAAAAAUCACUUCUCCAGAAAAGAACAAAUAACAUCACUUGAUAGGGGCUUCCCUGGUGGUCCAGUGGUUAAGACUCCGCCUCCCAGUGCAGGCAACACAGGUUCCAUCCCUGGUCGGGGAAUUAAGAUCCCAUCUGCUGCCGAGCAAGUACAUGCUCUGUAGCCUGCCUUCUGCAACUGAGACACAAUGUAGCCAAAUAAAUAAAUUAAAAAGGAAAUCACUUGAUAAUUCUGGGAAGGGAGAAAUUACCCACUUCUGAUUGGGUAGGGCAAUCAGGAAAGGCUGCGUGGAGGAAGCUGCAUUGAACUCAGCUGUGAAAUUGAAGAAGGAUUUGAAUGUGGACAGAGGAGAGUUACAAGAUGAAAAGCUGGAAGCUCCAGAGCAGGGGGUGGCUCGGGCUUCAGUGAUGUGAAAAAAGAGGACUUAAGGGUGUAGGGUGGGCUUCCCUGAUGGCUCAGCAGUACAGAAUCCACCUGGAAGGCAGGAGAUUUGGGUUCCUUCCCUGGGCCAGGAAGAUUCCUUGGAGGAGGAAAUUACAACCACUCCAGUAUUCUUGCCUGGAGAAUCCCAGGGACAGAGGAGCCUGGCGGGCUACAGUCCAAAGGAUGGCAAAGAAUCAGACACAACACAGCAGCCACACAAGGGUGUAGGGCACCAAGGAAUCAAUGUGGGUUAAGCAUCUGCGGGCCAGAUUCUGGCCGGGCUGGGGAGGUGGUGAAAAUGAAUCAUCUGGAGGUCAGCAGUGGAGGAGAGACAGGCAAAUUCUUCAUUCCCCCAAGUAACCCAGAUGGAAAGUCCAAGAUCAAGGGCGACUCUUGAGGGGGAAAUGACCCCUUUCCUCCAGUAACCCCAAACAAUUCCAAUGGCAAAGUACGUGGAAAUGCUAAGGACUGAUUCCUCAGUAUUGGAGACCUUGAAGAGCGUGACUAUCCCUUAUCAACCCACAA